ACGCUCGACACCUACGGGAGGCAGCAGUGGGGAAUAUUGCACAAUGGGGGAAACCCUGAUGCAGCGACGCCGCGUGAGCGAAGAAGUAUUUCGGUAUGUAAAGCUCUAUCAGCAGGGAAGAAACUGACGGUACCUGACUAAGAAGCACCGGCUAAAUACGUGCCAGNCGCGGUAUNUNGCGGCGNGNGAG
rnacentral:rRNA from 1 species